rnacentral:lncRNA from 1 species
CUUGUUGAGAGUUAUGCCUUAGUAGCUGCUGAGGGAAAGGCUGAAAUAGUCAACCACAUGCAAUUGAAGUCAACGAGAUUACUAGAAUGCUGAAGCUAUUUUUAUGUUUCUGUUUUUGCUGUUGCUAUUUUUAUGUUUUUUUCUUUUAAGUUAAAUUCUGAUGCUAUUUUGUAGGAGGUAGUUGUUUGUUCAACAAGUAGCUUGAUUUGAUGCUUUUUUUGAGGUCAUAUCUGUUACACAAUCUGUAUAAAUUCAGCCUUAUGAUCAAAUAAAAAGAUGAGAUCAGUAGCAGCAUAUCUCUGUUCUCUGUUGCUUGGUGUGUUAACCUCCCCUGCUUCCAACAGUUUGGUAUCAGAGCAUUUUUGUCUUGAGGGACCAGUGAGGUGUGUGAGCCUAAACACCAUAUACCAAACCUGAAUCUGAAAACCUUGCAGAAAUGGAAGAAGCAAGCUUCACAGCAGCACCACCAGUCUUCAAUGGAGAAAAUUACCAAACUUGGGCUGUCAGGAUGACUGUUCAUCUACAGGCUCUUGAUGUCUAGGAAGCGAUAGAGGAAGAUUAUGAAAUUUCUCCACUUGGAGCCAAUCCAACUGUGGCACAGAUGAAAAACCAUAAGGAGAAAAAGACGAGGAAGGCUAAGGCCAAGGCUUGCUUAUUUUCUGUAGUCUCACCAUUAAUUCUCACCAGAAUCAUGCAACUUGAAUCUGCUGCAGAAAUCUGGAAGCAUCUACGGGAAGAAUAUCAAGGCAAUGAAAGAGUCAGAAAUAUGCAGGUGAUGAAUCUGAUUCGAGAAUUUGAAAUGGUGAGGAUGAAGGAGUCUCAAACCAUAAAAGAUUAUGCAGAACAACUUCUUACCAUAGCAAACAAGGUGAGGUUGCUAGGUAAAGAGUUGUUCAAAAAAAUUUUGUCACACUUCCUGAAAAAUAUGAAGCUACAAUUUCUUCUUUGGAAAACACAAAAGAUUUGUCAAGUAUCACCUUGGCAGAACUACUAAAUGCUUUACAAGCUUUGGAACAAAGAAGACUCAUGAGGCAAGGAAGUUCUGUAGAAGGAGCUUUUCAAGCAAAGACACAGACCAAUGAAGGCAACACAAGAAGGAGGAAGAACAAAAAGAACAACAAUAAGCCAAGCAACAACAACAAUCAAAAAACUGGAACCUAUCCACCCUGUCCUCAUUGCAAGAAAACAAAUCAUCCUCAACAAAAAUGUUGGUGGAGACCAGAUGUGAAAUGCAACAAAUGUGGUAGACAGGGACACAUAGAAAGGAUCUGUAGAACUCAGCAGCAGCAGGGAGAAACCAAUGUAGCAGCUGAACAAUACCGGGAGGAGCAACUAUUUUCAACAACAUGUUUUGCAAACAGAAGCACCUUUGAAAGCUGGCUCGUGGACAGUGGUUGCACAAACCACAUGACAUAUGAUCAAGAUCUCUUUAGGGAGAUUGAUAGGACAACUAUUUCCGAAGUCAGAAUUGGAAAUGGUGAGUAUAUUCUAGUAAAAGGUAAAGGAACAGUAGCUAUUGAAAGCCUAACAGGUUUAAAGCUCAUUUCUGAUGUUUUGUUUGUGCCUGACAUUGACCAAAAUCUGCUAAGUGUUGGACAGCUUGUUGAGAAAGGGUUUAAAGUUUGUUUUGAAGACAAAAAUUGCAUAAUCAAGGAUGCUGAAGGCAGAGAGGUGUUCAACAUAAAAAUGAAAGGCAAAAGUUUUGCCUUGAAUAUGUUAGAAGAUGAGCAAAUUGCUAUUGCACAACAUGAGAACAAUACAAUGCUUUGGCAUAAAAGAUUAGGGCAUUUCCACCACAAUGUCGUGCUCUACAUGAAGAAGAAUCAGAUUGUAGAAGGACUCCCUGAUUUGGAAGAAGAACUUCCUAUAUGUGCAGCCUGUCAAUAUGGGAAGCAAAUAAGACUUCCUUUUCCUCAAAAAGCAGCAUGGAAAUCAACACAAAAACUACAAUUGGUUCACACAGAUGUUAGUGGACCUCAAAAGACACCAUUUUUGAAAGGGAGUAAGUACUAUAUUGCAUUUAUUGAUGACUUCACAAGAUUUUGUUGGAUUUAUUUUCUCACUUACAAAUCUGAGGUUGCUGAUGUGUUUUUGAGAUAUAAGGCCAUGGUUGAAAAUCAAAGUGAAUAUAGAAUCAAGGUUAUAAGGUUGGAUAAUGGUACAGAAUAUACUUCAGAAAAAUUCAACAAAUUUUGUGAAGAUGCAGGCAUAGAUCACCAGCUCACUGCACCAUACACCCCACAGCAAAAUGAGGUGGUCAAAAGAAAAAAUAGAACAAUAAUGAAGAUGACAAGAUGUCUUUUGCAUGAGAAAGAACUGCCAAAAAGUUUCUGGGCUAAAGCUGCAAAUACAACAGUAUUUUUGCUAAAUAGACUACCAACAAAAGCAUUGCAGAAACAGACACCUUUUGAGGCCUGGUUUGGUUAUAAGCCUAUGCUAAUGAAUUUAAAGACCUUUGGUUGCUUAUGUUUCUCUUAUGUUCCUCAGGUGAAAAAAGACAAGCUAGAUAAAAAGUAAGAACCAGGAAUUUUCAUUGGAUACAGCAGCACCUCAAAAGCUUACAGAAUCUACUUGCCACAAAAUAGUAAAAUUGUGGUAAAUAGAGAUGUUAAGUUUUUGGAAAUGGAGAAAUGGAGCUGGGAUGAGCAGAAUCAACAAUAUAUUGAUGAAGAUGUUGAUGAACUUCUAGUUAGAGGUUUCAGGACACUUUUUGAUAUUUAUCAAAGGUGUAAUAUAGUUGUUCUUGAACCUGCAGGGUUUGUUGAAGCUGCUGAAAAUAAAAGAUGGAGGGUUGUAAUGCAGGAGGAGCUAAAUAUGAUUGACAAGAACAACACUUGGGAGCUAGUAGAUAGACCUUCACACAAAAAACCUAUUGGGGUUAAGUGGGUUUACAGAACCAAACUCAAUUCUGAUGGUUCUAUAAACAAACAUAAAGCAAGGCUAGUUGUCAAAGGGUAUGCACAAAUGUUUGGUGUUGACUUUUAGGAAACCUUUGCACUAGUAGCUCGUUUGGAUACAAUCAAGAUGUUGUUGGCUCUUGCAGCUCAAAGAAAAUGGAAAAUUUAUCAACUAGAUGUGAAGUCAGUAUUUUUGAAUGGCUACCUGGAGGAAGAGAUUUUUGUCGAACAACCAGAAGGUUUUGCUAUCAAAGGAAAAGAAGAAAAAGUAUACCUUCUUAAAAAGGCCUUGUAUGGGUUAAGACAAGCCCCUAGAGCCUGGUACAGCAGGAUUGACACUCACCUGCUAACUUUAGGCUUUCACAAGAGCUUGAGUGAAUUUACACUCUACAUUAAGAAGAUUGAAGAAGAUAUAUUAAUUGUUUCUCUAUAUGUUGAUGAUUUGCUUGUAACAGGAAGUAAUGCAGGGUUUGUGAACAAAUUCAAGGCUGAAAUGGAGCAGGUCUUUGAGAUGACAGACCUAGGUGAGAUGUCUUACUUCUUGGGAAUGGAAGUACACCAGAAGCAAAAUGAGAUUUUCAUCUGCUAACAAAAAUAUGCCAAAGAAAUUCUGAAGAAAUUCAAAAUAGAGGAAUGCAAACCUACAUCUACCCCUAUGAACCAGAAAGAGAAGUUCUGUAAGGAGGACGAUGCUGAAAAGGUAGAUGAAGGACUUUAUCGAAGCAUGAUUGGAUGCUUAAUGUACUUGACUGCAACAAGACCCGAUAUAAUGCAUGUUGUAAGUCUACUUUCGAGAUACAUGCAUUGUGCUAGUGAAAUUCAUUUCCAGGCAGCAAAGUGUGUGAUAAGAUAUGUUAAAGGCAUUGUGGAUUAUGGCAUUAAGUUCAGUCAAGUUCAAAGUUUCAAUUUUCAUGGAUUUUCUGAUAGUGAUUGGGCUGGUUGUGUUGACGAUAUGAGAAGUACUUCAGGCUGUUGUUUUAGCUUUGGUUCUGGUGUUUUUUCAUGGAGUUCAAGGAAGCAAGAAGUCGUGGCUCAAUCCACAGCUGAGGCAGAGUAUAUUGCUGCUGUUGCAGCUGUAAAUCAAGCCUUAUGGCUUAGAAAGUUGCUGACAGAUUUGGAUAUGAAGCAAGAAGUGAGUACAAAGGUGUUUGUAGACAACCAAGCCACUAUAUCUAUUGCAAAUGAUCCAGUUUUUCAUGGUAAAACAAAGCACUUCAAGAUUAAAUUGUAUUUUCUGAGGGAAGUACAGAAAGAAGGAGAUAUACAGCUAGUUUACUGCAAUACAGAAAGUCAGAAUGCAGAUAUUCUGACUAAAGCUCUUCUAAAAUAAGAUUUGAGUUUCUACGAGAAAGACUUGGAGUUUGCAGCUCCUAAGUCAAGGAGGAGUGUUGAGAGUUAUGCCUUAGUAGCUGCUGAGGGAAAGGCUGAAAUCGUCAACCACAUGCAAUUGAAGUCAACGAGAUUACUAGAAUGCUGAAGCUAUUUUUAUGUUUCUGUUUUUGCUGUUGCUAUUUUUAUGUUUUUUUUUUUUAAAGUUAAAUUCUGAUGCUAUUUUGUAGGAGGUAGUUGUUUGUUCAACAAGUAGCUUGAUUUGAUGCUUUUUUUGAGGUCAUAUCUGUUACACAAUCUGUACAAAUUCAGCC